UAUACGGGAAUAAAGUGAGCCACGUGUGGCUUUUUGUAUGUACCGUAUGAAUAAGGAUCGGCUAACUCCGUGCCAGCAGCCGCGGUAAUACGGAGGAUCCGAGCGUUAUCCGGAUUUAUUGGGUUUAAAGGGAGCGUAGGCGGGUUGUUAAGUCAGUUGUGAAAGUUUGCGGCUCAACCGUAAAAUUGCAGUUGAUACUGGCGACCUUGAGUGCAACAGAGGUAGGCGGAAUUCGUGGUGUAGCGGUGAAAUGCUUAGAUAUCACGAAGAUCCGAUUGCGAAGGCAGCUUACUGGAUUGUAACUGACGCUGAUGCUCGAAAGUGUGGGUAUCAAACAGGAUUAGAUACCCUGGUAGUCCACACAGUAAACGAUGAAUACUCGCUGUUGGCGAUAUACAGUCAGCGGCCAAGCGAAAGCAUUAAGUAUUCCACCUGGGGAGUACGCCGGCAACGGUGCAACUCAAAGGAAUUGACGGA
rnacentral:rRNA from 1 species